UACAGAGGGGGCAAGCGUUGUUCGGAAUUACUGGGCGUAAAGGGCGCGUAGGCGGCCUGUUAAGUCGGACGUGAAAUCCCCGGGCUCAACCCGGGAACUGCGUCCGAUACUGGCAGGCUUGAAUCCGGGAGAGGGAUGUGGAAUUCCAGGUGUAGCGGUGAAAUGCGCAGAUAUCGGGAAGAACACCCGUGGCGAAGGCGGCACUCUGGGACGGUACUGACGCUGAGACGCGAAAGCGUGGGGAGCGAACAGG
rnacentral:rRNA from 1 species